GGGGAUUUAGCUCAGUGGUUCCGGCGCCUGCCUCAAAAGCUGGCGAGGGCCUGAGUUCAAUCCCCA
rnacentral:tRNA from 1 species